GGUUUCGGCAGUCUGGUCCAGAUUCAGCGCGCUGCCGCGUUUUACACACACGCACACACGCGCGCGCUCACACACACGCACACACACACAUUAGCUGUGCACGACCGGCGAAGGCGGCUCGUAGCAUCGAUCGUGGCUCCUUUAAGAAGAACUAAGCCAGAAUCCUCACCCCACCUCCUCUACAGCUUAUUUAGAAGCUUUUGCAUAAAAAAUCAACACGAGAGAAGCAAGCGAGCAAAAGAGACACACGAGGGCUUGAUUUUUGCGCGCGUUUUUACGAGCAGCGUUGUCGCGAGGUGUGCUAACCGGUGGAAACGCGACGGAAGAUCAUCAUUCAUUCGACACUUUGACAAGCUUGCCUCUGAUUGACAGGCUGUGUGGCAAAAAGCCAUGGGACUUGCUAGCUAGGUCUGAGGGGUAUAUUUUCAUAAAAGGUCUGCGAAAGAAGAUUCUUUCGGUUUUUCAUCGCUGUCCGGCGGGGAAAAGCGGAGGACCCUGGUCGUGUUUGGCUGAAGUUGAUGUGAAGGACUGCUUGAAAGAGGCAUUUGGAUUUUGUUUUCGAAAAACAAACAUAAAACUAAACUAAACUAAACAGAACAAAAAACAAAAAACUUCCACUUCCUUCGGAAAUUGCGUUCUCAUUACUUCUUCAACCUGGCCUCUUAGGGAAUAUAUUUAGCGUUUAACGAAGCUGAGGGAGCGUGGAGGGCGAUGGCGCAGCGGUACGAAGACUUGCCCCACUACGGCAUGGACGGCGUCGGGAUCCCGAGCACCAUGUACGGGGACCCGCACGGCGGCGCGCGGCCUAUGCAGGCGGUGCACCUGAACCACGCGCCGCCACUGCACGCACACCAGUACCCGCACACUGCGCACGCCAACGCCAUGGCACCCGCAAUGGGAGCGUCCGUCAACGACGCGCUCAAGAGAGACAAGGACGCCAUUUACGGGCACCCCCUUUUCCCACUGCUAGCACUGAUUUUUGAAAAAUGUGAGUUAGCGACGUGCACGCCUCGGGAACCCGGUGUGGCUGGAGGAGACGUGUGUUCUUCUGAGUCCUUCAACGAAGACAUCGCCGUGUUCGCCAAACAGAUCAGAGCAGAAAAGCCAUUAUUUUCGUCAAAUCCUGAACUUGAUAAUUUGAUGAUACAAGCCAUACAAGUUUUACGCUUUCAUCUCUUGGAGCUGGAGAAGGUACACGAGCUGUGUGACAACUUUUGCCACCGGUAUAUCAGCUGUCUGAAGGGCAAGAUGCCCAUAGACCUGGUAAUAGACGAAAGAGAAGGAGGAUCUAAGUCGGAUAGCGAGGAAAUCACGAGAUCGUCGGGGCCGCUGGAUCAGACCUCAUGGAACAGAGACCAUGAUGACACAGCUUCAACACGCUCCGGAGGUACGCCAGGACCUUCCAGUGGUGGACACACAUCACAUAGUGGUGACAACAGCAGUGAACAAGGUGAUGGACUGGACAACAGCGUGGCCUCUCCCAGUACGGGCGAUGAUGAUGACCCUGACAAGGAGAAGAAGAGGAAUAAAAAACGUGGCAUCUUCCCCAAAGUAGCAACCAAUAUCAUGCGGGCAUGGCUCUUCCAGCACUUGACACACCCCUACCCCUCAGAAGAACAGAAAAAACAGCUGGCCCAAGACACUGGCCUUACCAUAUUGCAAGUGAAUAACUGGUUCAUUAAUGCACGAAGGAGAAUAGUCCAGCCAAUGAUCGACCAGUCCAACCGAGCAGGCAAGUCUCCUCUAAUAAAUGCACCAUGCAUCAAGAGGUUUGCCUCUUGGUAAAUACAUCACCUGGCCUGGACCACAGGUCAUGACUGACCACAAAAGUCCAUUCAGUUAAUCCGAAGCAUUAAUCACACAUGCUCAGAGUCCUUAUACUGUCCUGAAUAAAGUAGCAAAAUAGACAUCAUCAAAUAAAGAACUGAAACUGUAACGGUGGUUUAGAUGUAAAAUACCACAGCUCUUGUCCAAUCAAAAACUGUUUUGAGUCUAACAAAAAUAAAUAUAAUAUAAACAUGUGAAAUUAAAUGAGGAUAAUUAUUUAAAUAUGUUUUUAUUGUGUGUGAAUUUGCUUGGCAUCCAAGCUUUGCUAAUGCAGUUUCCCUGGUGCAUGGCUUGUUGUGGACGGCUUUAAAGUUUAUGAGCUGUAAUGGGGUUCAGAGAGCAAGGUUGCUUUAGGGGACUCAAGAAAGUUCAAAGGCAUUCACUGACAUUGAGGUUGUUGUUUUUGAUAAAAAAAAAGUCUCUCCUCUCCCAUUUCCCUCCAAACAGCAUAUAUCCACCAUAGCUCACAGGUAAAAAGAAAAAGGAGUCUUCUCUAGCAUUAUAAGGAAUAGUUGAAAAGAAUGAUCAUUAAAUAUUUUUUUAUCAGUGGACUGGAUUUAAUUUGCUUCAAGAUACUAAUGAUGUAAUGAGGUACUAAAUCAUAAUCAUGUACCAUCUUAAUUUUAUUAUUUAAGUCUGAUUGGAAAUGUAUAUAUUAUGCAUAGUCAUAUAUGUGAGGAAGAAAAACUGGGCUAAGAACCCUUAACCUGUGUGCCUGUUAGCAGAUGAUGUAUUCUCAGCAAUAGAAACUUAAUUAAAAGCACUAAUUGACCACUGUCCUGUGCCCUCCCCAAUUCACCCACAGUAAGUCAGGGAGCCCCCUACAACCCAGAUGGUCAGCCCAUGGGAGGCUUUGUGAUGGAUGGCCAGCAGCACAUGGGAAUCAGACCACCUGGGCCUAUGAGUGGAAUGGGCAUGAAUAUGGGCAUGGAGGGACAGUGGCACUACAUGUAACCUUCUAGUUAACCAAUCGCAAAGUGGGGGAA